AUGUCCUUUCAGCAGGGGACAAUCCCAUCAGAGGUGAAAACGGCAAUUAGCAAAAACUUCUUUGAAAUAUGGAAAAAACAUUUUGGUCGUAUAUCAAUGUUGGUAUACUCACUUGUUUUGGUAGUGCUUGAAAAGAUAUUGGAAUCUGAUUUUAAAUGCCCAGAAGAGCUGCACUUGAGACAUUCGUACACCAUCUUACUUUUCAUUAUGCCAGCAGUACUUUUUUUUAUAUUAGGCAUGAUUUUGCAGACAGAGUUUCUACGUCCUUCUCAUAAAGAAAACGAAUUCUACUACUUUUACAGCAAAUGCAAAAGUGACAACAAACACAAAAGUGACUCCACAGAUAAGCACAAGUUUCGUAGCUGUUGGGGUGUUUUUUUAAAGGCUUCUUUUCCUGCUGUCUUGUGGAUAGUGAUCCUUCUUCUGGAUGGAAGAUAUGUUGACUGCCUCAGUAAGAACAUCACAGAGUAUCAGAUUUUCCAGGUAUUCUGCCGGUGAUUUGAGUGAACAUAGACCAUCAGGGAAGAAGAGAAUAGAGAGAGGAAGAAGAAGAAGAUCUGAAUGUGUUAAUAUAAUCUCCUCACUUUGGUUUUCAAUAAGAUGGACCCAGGAGCAAAAUCCAGAUCCCAGUUUCCCAGAAUUCGAACUAGAGAUUUUAAUUCAUCCCCUUAUCAUGGAGGACAGCAAUGUCUCCAAGUUGCACUGAGACAUGGAGUUAAGUGAGGAUUGUUAAGACAAGCUAACUGCCAUGUUCAAUUAAACAGAUAUUUUAAUAUAGAUCUGAGGUUUUCAUGGAGAGAGGGCUGCAAGGAUGUUUCAAUCUGGAAUGUGGAGGUUCAAAACAAGCAAAUGUUUUGACACGUCCAGGAAUCAGGACAUUGGGUUCUGGCUGAUCUGCUGACAUAAAGUAGCCAGAAAACACCUAAUCAGUUCCACACUUAAUUUCUAUAACUAGAGUGGAACAGUCAGAUAUACCAGUGAGACUUGCCCAUGGUCCUAGAAACCAAACUCGGCUAAGAUAUCAUAAGGAACUAGUGAGUUGGGAUCCCAACUUUAAUACCUUAAAUGUGCUUGAUUUCCAGAGGCCAGGUUCCGAGAACUUUCAAAAAUCCAGUAUCUAUCUAUCUAUCUAUCACAUUUACACAAAUGCAUGUUUAUUUCAUAAGUGCUCCACAGAGGUCCAGCUUUUUAGAAUAUAAAUUGCCCCUUAAGUGAAUUGCCCAGCUUAAUCUGAGAAUAUCUGUACCAGACUCUUGCAGUCUUCAUCAGCCCCUUCUCUUUCUUCAUUACAAAGAAAGUUUGGAGAGUUUGAGACUGGAGAAAAUCACUCUUGGCAAGUUAAAUUUUACCAUGCCAGAAGCCAACUCUACACUUAAUGAGCCCAAGAGGUCCACUUUGCAGUCUCAACUUCCUGAGAAGUUAGCUGUUUUCAUUUCAUUUAGAACAAUUAUUUCUCCAUGAGAUGUACUAGCUGUGUAUAUAUCCUCAGUGUUCCAGU
rnacentral:lncRNA from 1 species